CCAAAGGUAGCUAAGCAUCCAUGUCGGGCAUGGCUUCCAUGCGCUCGUCGUCCUCAUCCAUGGCUCUCGCUCUGCUGCCGCUACUGGUGGCAGCCGCACUGGCUCCCUCUCUGGCUUCAGCUUCACCUGCCCUCGACAAUGGCGAGGAGCUGCUGAUGCUGGGGAGGUUCCAUGGGUGGAUGGCGGCGCACGGCCGGUCGUACGCCACCGAGGAGGAGAAGCUGCGCCGGUUCGAGGUGUACCGGAGCAACAUGGAGUUCAUCGAGGCGGCGAACCGGGACAGCCGGAUGAGCUACCGCCUCGGCGAGACCCCGUUCACAGACCUCACCCACGACGAGUUCAUGGCCAUGUACAGCAGCAACGACGACGACGGCCCGUUGUCGUCAUCGUUGUCGGAGGAGACGACGGUGAUCACAACUCGCGCUGGCCCCGUCCACGAGGGCACCGCCGCCGUCGAAGAGCCGCCACCUCGUCGUACCAACCUGACGGAGGCGGUGCCUCCGAGCGUCGAUUGGAGGGCCAAAGGCGUCGUCACAGCAGCCAAGUUUCAAGGGGUGUCCUGUUGUAAGUAACAUCCAAAACAAAUCAUGCAUGCGAUCUCGUUGUCAUCGUCUACUCCAUAUGCAAGCUAAGUAAGUGUCCGUGCAGCGUCUUGCUGGGCGUUCACGUCGGUGGCCACGAUGGAGAGCGCGCAGGCGAUCAGCACCGGCGGAUCGCCGCCGUUGCUGUCGGAGCAGCAGCUGGUGGACUGUGUCACUCUCAACCACGGCUGCAACAGAGGUUGGAUGGACAACGCCUUCAAGUGGGUGAUCCAGAACGGCGGCAUCACCACGGAGGCGGCCUACCCCUACACCGGCAAGGACGGCAAGUGCCAAACGGGCAAGCCGGUCGCGGUGAGGCUCAGCGGCUACAAGAAGGUUUCGCCGCCCGGCAACGAGGCGGCGCUCAUGGAGGCCGUGGCGCAGCAGCCCGUCGCCGCAUCCUUCGACUACAGCGACCCCUGCUUCCAGCACUACAUCGGCGGCGUAUACAACGCCGGUUGCUCCAAGUCCGGCGUCUACACCAAAGGGGCGUGCAAGACAGCGCAGAACCACGCGCUGGCCCUCGUCGGGUACGGGACCAUGCCUGACGGGACCAAGUACUGGAUCGGUAAGAACUCGUGGGGUGAGAAGUGGGGUGAAAAAGGCUUCAUCUAUGUCCUUAGGGACUCGCCGCCCUUGGGCUUGUGCGGCCUUGCGGCGCUCCCGGUUUACCCUAUCAUCUGAUGACGACCCCAGCCGCCGUGCACCUCCAUCAUGUGUGCGUCCCUCCGUGCAUACUUAUUAUAUGUAAUGAAUAAUUGCACGGUACUACCUAGCUAUUCACUUGUGUACUCCAUCAUGUAAAGGUUCGGAUGCUACACAUGCAUCCUUGCCUAUAAUAAAUAAACAAUUAAUAUAUGCUACUCCUUCCAUUCUAAAUUAUAAAUAGUUUUAACUUUUUUAGAUUCAUAGCUUUUUGCUAUGCACCUAGAUAAUACAUUAUGUUUUACUAUAUAUCUAGAAAAGUCAAAACGACUUACAAUUUGGGGUAGAGGAAGUACCUCCGUUCUGUUUUAUUUAAGGAGUAAAAUGCACUAGCGGUAGGUCUCCAAUCUCCCAAAAUGUACAUCGGAGUCCCUAAACUUGCUAAUCGGUUCAUGUGACACUCAACUCUCCAUAACCCACCUUAAACUGCGUACAUGGCAUGCUGACUGGGAUGCUGACGCAUGGAGCGGAGGAUGGAGAGCAAAAGAGGUAGGAGGGGGCGGGGUAGGGGGGAGGUGAUCGCCGGUGACCAUGGGGGAGAGGAUGAGAAUGGAGUCAGGACGAGCGCUGGUUGUGCUGACAGGGCGAGGUCGGUGCGCCGCAAAGGUGGGGUGAGCUUGACGUGCCGGACAGCGUGAGCUUCGGCAGCGCGAGAUUUGCGUGAGCGUGACGGCAGAGAUCAUUUGCGAAAAAUGGAGAGAGAGGAAGAGAGAAGGUAGGUGGAUUUGACAUGUGGACGUCAACACACAGUUAGUGUUCCACGCAUGCCAUUUAACAUGGGUUAUGAAGAUUUGGAUGCAAGUUUAGGGAUUUAAAUGUGCAUUUUGGUAGUUCGGAGAUCUAGAUGACACUCGCUACCGAUGCAAGUUCAUGUACGUGCAUUUACUCUUUAUAUAAGCUUUGGCUGGUCCUAAAUUAAUCUAAACCACGCCAAAUGCUUUGGAAUGGUGGUAGUAUUUGAUAUCCUGUAAUAAUAUUGCAUAUUUGGCUGCCAUCAAAAUGCAUGGGACAGGUUGUUCGGAAAAUCCAAAAGAGAGUAUGCAUCAAUAGCCUUCUCUGGGAUACAACAAUACCGAGCUGAGCGCGCACAAAACACACCACACUGUUCUUACACACGCUUAUUAAGGUGGUACACAAAGCCACUGACUUCACAAAACUUGGGUGUCCACAAGUGCUUGGAGUCGUCUCAUUGUAGUCUAUAAGCACUUGGUGCCAUACUGCAAAUAUUAGUUGUGGAUCCGAUAGACGAGGGAUUGCACCCUCUUUAAUUAAAUUAAUUGAACUAAUGUUCAAAAUGCCGCUGAUUAUGAUAAACUAAUUGAAUUUUUUUGGAGAAAAACAAAUUGAAUUAAUUAAUUUAUACUAACAAGGGUUGAUGGUGGCCUUUUAGAUCUACACUACAGUACACCUUUGCGGGACAAACUAAUAGCAGUUCUCCUACAAUAAUAGUUGCCAAGCAAGCUUGACCUUGUAAUAACCAUUUGAAGUUUUGUAUGCCAGAAAGCGUACCCCUCCUUUCAUCUGGUUAGAAGUAGGAGAGUGUGUGUUGUUUGUUCUUGUAGUAAUCAAAGAUACCACAUAAAAAAAUGAAGGUCAGAUAAAACAUGAAAAAUACCUCAAAGCAAGAAGAAAUCUAUUAUAAUAAAAGAAGAUGAGACCUAUCUUUCAAAGUUGGAGCGAGAUUGUAUCUACCUCAAGAUCGUCCUACCCUUGAGAGGGACUCAAAGAUUUCAAAAGAGAGGGAAACUACGUCCAUGGUUUGUAGGACCAUGUAUACAAUAUCAAAUUAAAAAGAUUAGAGCUCUAGCUUACAAUUUAGAAAUACUCGAGAGCAUGGUAGGAGUACACAUAUGCAUGUCGUUGCAACUAGCAAAAUGCUCGAGGGUUCCGGAAGAAGAAAGUUCAGCAAAAAGCAGUUGACUUUCAAGACACAGAUUAAUAUCGAAGACAUUCCAAUCAAGAUCAUUGAUGUGCCAGUAGCAUAUCGACAAAGGUUAUGCAAGGUUCUGCAGAGAAACCAUAGCAAAGAGGAAGCUGCAUAGGAGCAUCAAGAAGAUUUGAAGAAAGAAUUUCCUCACUUCUUGGCUGUGAAUACAAAAUUUUGAUUUUCCUUUUAUGUAAAUUUUGCUUCAAUGUAAAAACUUGAUUGUUUGAAGUCAAAUAAAUUUUCUUAAAUUCAAACUUCAUAGAUUUAUUCUGUGAGUUUUGAAUUGGAAACUAAAUCUCAAUUCAAAUCUGUUUUAUAAACGACUAGAGAAAAGGCCUAGCCUAAAUCCUAACUAACAAGGCCAUAACGGCGACGACACGCACAGCAGCGAGUCGGCCCAAUAAUAUUUCCUGGUGUGUGUCAGCGCAGCCCAUGGCCCACGAUUCUGCAUGCAGACACCAGACAUGCAUGGCCCACGAUUCUGGUGAGGGUGCGCGGGGAGGCGUGCGAGGCACCAGACAUGCAUGAUCACUGGCAAAGCAGACGCAUGGCUGCAUGCACUUCUGUUAGUGCACAUCUUCAUGCAUGUCUGCAUAGAUACUGCCUCCCAACUAUUGUCCCUGUACAUUGCCUUGUUAUUUUGACUUUAGGAGAGCAGCUCCGUUCAUUAGUUGUCAUUAGGCUAUGAAUGAGGCUAUGAUUUUUUUUUCCUUUAUUUACUUGCGGAGCUGAGUUGGCCAUUACUCUCUUUGCGUUCAUUUUUUUUCUAUUUCUUUCCAUUUAAUUUCCUUUUAUUUAUUUUUAUAUAAUAUUUAUUGAUCUUUCUCUUUUUUUAUUCCAAACCUAACUUAGUAUUCUUUCUUUGGAUGUUUUUUCAUGAUUUAUAUCAUUCAACUUUAUAUCUUAUAUAGCUAGAUGUUAACAAAUGCGUAACCGAUUGUUCCCACAGUGAAACUAUUUGUUCAAAUUUAAGAAUAAUUCAAUGUGAACUAUAAAUUUAUUUUCUUUUCUUUCGUUUUGUUUUCUUAUGGUGCCUUUUCUUUUCCCGUCUAUUCGUAUAUUAUUUCUAUCUUUUAUUUCAUUUGCUAUAUUAUGAUUUCUUUUCUUUUAUCUUAUUGUAUUCAUCUUUCUUCCACUAUUUUCUAUUUUAACAUAUUAUAAUUUUAUAUGGAUCUAUUUACCUUUCUAUAUAUUAUAAUAUUUAUUCUAUACUCCUGUAUUCACAAUGUAUUUAUUUCAGAUGUAAAAGUCUUUUUCCAUAACUUUGUAUAAUUUGUUCUAGGUAUUAUUUUAAUUUUUAUUCUAUUAUAUAAUUUGUUGUAGGGGUAUACAUAAUGAGUUAGUAUAAUUUGCUCUAUGGCUACAACUAUUUUAUUCUACACGUUCAUAGAUUUUGUUCCAUGUGUAUAAAUAAUUGUUCUUUGAAUUAUAUACUUUGCUCAAUAAGUCUGUAUAAUUUGUUCUCAGAAUACAAAUUUUUGAUCAUGAGCUCAUAUAAAUUGUUUGACGUGUACAACUAGUUUGUUUCACGAGUUUGUAUAAUUUAUUCCAAGUGCAUAUAUUUUUGUUCCCUGAGUUCGUGCAAUUGUUUGAUGGUACAAAUAUUUCAUUCCUUGAGUUCGUAUAAUUUGUCCAUAUAUAAAUAUCUCAGAAACAGUUUUCAACCUGAUUAAAAAAUGGUAAUAAAUAAAAUUCGUUCAAAUAUAGUCAAGUGGGGUCUUGUUUUGAAGAUCUUAUUUAAAAAAUAAAACUACGCAAUUAAAAUUUAAUUCAGAUAAUUUGUUUGGGAUUUAUAGUUUUUUUUUCAUGUGCCAUGACAUCAACAACUACAUGCAAGAUUCUCUCCCUAGGAACUAGCCACUGUCGAUACAUGUGUACAACAUCUUUUCAUGGAUCAGCCCCCACAACCAGUCUAAUAAGAGGGUGUUCGGAUCCCCAGGUUAAACUUUAGUCCCUAUCACAUCGAAUAUUUAGAUACUAAAUAAAAAUAUUAAACAUAGACUAUUUACAGAACCCAUUGCACGGAUGGAGGCUAAACGGCGAGAUGAAUCUGUUAAGCCUAAUUAUUUCAUGAUUUGACAAUGUGCUGCUAUAGUAACCAUUUUCUAAUGAUGGAAUAAUUAGGCUUAAUAGAUUCGUCUCGCCAUUUAGCCUCCAUUUGUGUAAUUAAUUUUAUAAUUAACUCAUAUUUAGUCCUAAUUAGCCUACGAAUAUUCGAUGUGACACGGACUAAACUUUAGCUCCAGGAUCAAACACCUCCUAAAUCCCCGCUCCUCCCAUACGUGCUCUGGUAGACUGCUGCGCGUGUGAUCUACUAGUUGGGCUGCUGCGCGCGCACCUUUCUUGAGGUGACAGGUGCCUUGGGUUGCCACAUGAGUUCUUGCCAUCCGAUCAGCACGGUGAGCCCUUGCCCCUUGCUGUUGUUUGCCAUGAGUUUGCUCUUGGUUGCAACUUUGGGAGCACCCUCUUCUCUCCGCGGUGGCCGAUCCUCUACGUUUCACCAUUGUCACCUGUAUUCUGUGGAACAUUUGGAAGGCAAGGAAUGCUAGAGUCUUCGACAACCAGAACUACUCGCCUGCCUUCAUUCUUCGCCAAGCUGCCGGCGACCUCUACCUCUGGUCUCACCGAGCGCGAGACGUUUCUUGUCAACAAGCCCUGCGGCAAUGGAGUGUGAUUUUAUCUAAUGUAAUAGGUGAUCAGUGUUGAACUCUUAACUCACCCCCCUCCCAAAAUCAUUGUACGCUUCCAAGCUCCUUGCGCUGACAUUUCACCCGCCGUAGUUUUCCUAAAAAAAUUGGAUUGACAGUUAGCUGGGCUGCAGUAUCGGUGGAAUGGAUCUGGAGUCGCAGGUGUUUGUGGAAAAUUCUGCAACAAGUCAAUUGGUACCUGUCGUUCGUAGUGCUGGGGAAAUAUAUAAUGAGCUCGGCGUGUUUGUGGAAAUGCCACAGCCUCCCAGAACGGAGAACACCAGAGAUGUUUCGUGGAGAAGAUAUGCCACGCAGUUUUUCAUUUUUUUUUGCUGUGCUUGUGCUUGUGCUUAGUACAGAAUAUGAUACCAUUCAUGCAAAUCAACUUCUGGAAUGUGUACAUUCAAGUCAUAUCACUGGAACUUUCAGUGCAUGGAGAUGCAACACUUGCCUUGGGGUGAAGACCGUGUUUUCUCACUUGGUCACAUUCAGUUCACCGUCAAAGUCACUGAGCUCUCAGAUACUUUGGCUUAAUUUCAAGAAACUCAGUCGUCUUCUUGUACAUGGCGUGGAUGUGUACGGGCUCAUCUCAAUGAUCGUGGAGGCUGCAUGAACGGUUAAGAGGAACCGGGCCGGGGGACCUGUCAGCUGCUGGCACGCCAUGCAAGGAUGAUCAGGGACAGCUCAGUACUCCACCCGUUUCAAAUUGUAGGGCGUUUUAUUAUACACCUAGCUAGACCUACACUAUAUCUAAAUAUAUAAUAAUAUCUAUAAAUUUAAAAAAAUUAAAACGACCUACAAUUUAAUUUGGAACGGAUGGAGUAGAACGCAACUAGGAGCCCAGUGGAGCAGCUGGAGGAGAUGCUUCGGUACGCAUAAGUUUUCAUCGCGUCUUGUCAUGAGGGUAGCUACCAUAUGCAACUAAUGCAUGGGAAGGAAGAAGGCUAAUCAGAUCAGCUCCCUGAGGUGCACGAAAUUAUCUUCUACCUCGAUCUUUUCCCCCUUAAUUGUCAGCAUUGUCGACAACAACACCAUACUUGGGUGUGUCUUCUCAUGAGAGCUUUUCCUCUGUUCUCAAGGUUAUGGAUUUCAUCGUGUGAAAGUUUCUUAGACCAUGUUGUGUUUCAGAAAGACCAUUUUUCCCUAAUCAAGGACCAGUUUUUCUGGCUGAUAACAUGCUCAAAUCUGUUUCUAAAUUCAAACUUCUUUUUUUGGCUGAUUUUGUUAGUCAGAAACUAGCCUCCUGAAAUCAUGAUCUUUUGCAACUCGGAGUCUCAAGAUCAUGCAACUGGCGUAACGCAUGUAGGUUGUACUAAAAUCUAUUUCAAAGGAACUUAUUGUAUAAGCAGCAUUGUCCUAUACUUACAUAUUAUGUCAAGGAAACAUGUAAAUAUUUAUUUCAUUGACCAUGCCUCUUAUUAAAAUUAAGAUUCAAAGUGCUGAUGGCAGUUUGUUACUGGAAUAUAUGCUAAGAAAUAACUUAUGUUCAAAGGAACUUAUUUGCCUUCUGUUUUCAAUCAUUAAGGAAACUACUGAUGAAUUACAUGCAUUACAUCAAGCAGAACAUGAAGAUAGGUAUGGUCCAUCUAUGUAUCCCUUUUUUCAUAUGAAAUUUAUGGACUUGCUUAGUUUGUUCAUUCAAACACAUGCAUUACAUCAUGCAGAACAUGAAGAUAGGUAUGGUCCAUCUAUGGUAUCCCUAUUUUCAUAUGAAAUUUAUGGACUUACUUAGUUUAUUCAUUCAAAUAUUGUAAAUGUGCUUCAUUUUGCUGCUAUAUAUAUUGGCAGUGUAAACCGAAUGAUGCACUAAACAUCUUAUCAAUCCAAAGGAACACCUCUCUUCAAAUUAAAACAAAGGCAAAGACUGUGAUUGUUCAAUAUGAAAUUUGUGCACUAUCCUUGAAGAAUAUGAAAACACUUGGAAAUGCUUAUAUUGGUGGAUGAAGGGAGUAUAUAUUAAGGAUUUUGUGUUAUUUUAUUAUACUGUGAUUUGUCUUGAGUUGCGUGUUUGAAAGAAAUAUCAGUUACAUGUAUCGCUGAUGACACAUCCAAGAAGUACAGAAGCCGAGUGAAUGUUUAUUCCAUUAUUAUAGAAAUAAAAGAGAUGGAUGGACCUCACAACAGAUACCCUACUCUUUACUGUACUUCCAGUGUGAUGUUUCAAUAAUAAAUGCUCACAUGAAGAUUCAGCCCAACACGAGCAUGCAACAGAUUAGCCGACAUGUGCGUUAAACAAUUUGUCCGAUGUCUAUCAAUAAUCAUAACAAACCAACAAACUGUCCUAUUCAUCCAUAGUAGAGGUUUAAUAUAAGAGAUACUUUCUCCAUCACAGAUAUACAUUUUGAUUUUAUUCUAAGUUAAAUCUCUCUAAACAUCAAUCGAUUUCCAUUAAGUCCACAAUGGAAUAUGUGUAAUUAGUGCAUUUUUUGGUAUUGUAGAUGUUAAUAUAUUUUUCUAUAAAUUUAGUUAAAGUUGAAUAAGUUUGGUUAGCACACGAAAAAUAGGAUGCAUGAAGUACUAAUUAAUUUUUUUGCCAUCUGACCACAUCAUUUGACUGUUUUUUAUAAAAAACAAAUACCCAUGUAGACAGGUGUUUUGAUAUAUUUGGGGUUAAUAUUCCAUUCCGAGGAGGUGCUAUUCACUUUUGGAACGUGCUCAGGGACUCGCCGCCCUUGGGCUUGUGCGGCCUCGCGGUGCGCCGCAGCUUCCCUAUCAUCUGAUCGAUCACCGGCCGGACCCCCGGUCGAUCGCCAUGCACCUCCGAGCCAUGCAUGAUCUGUGUGCCUCUCGAUCCAGAAUAAUGGUGUGUACACACGCCCUGCAUGUCUAUACAGUAUGUAUCGUUGCAAAGAUUAUAUAGGGUGCUGACAUGCAUCCUAGCUUGCUUAUAAACAAAUAAGGGAGGUGUUUUUUUUUAUCAUUGUUGCAUAUGCCCAAGAGGGCCUGGCCCAUUAUGCAGGGGUAUAAAUGAAGUUGCUUAACCCUAAGUAGAAAUUAGACCUGCCGAAGAUGCGAUGUGUCGGUGUAGGCGUGCGGACUGGCGGUCGUCGACAUGUGAUGAUUUUCAUUGGACAAAGAAAUGUCAUACUAUCAAAAUAAUUUGAUUAUGUGAUGAUUAUUAUUAUGCACUGCCUAUGAUGAGCAUGAUAAAUCCCUCACAAAAAAUUAAGAUUUUAUGCCCUUCCAACAAUUGCACCAUUGAGUUCUUGUUAGUAGGUGAUGGGUCUGCCAAAGCAGGGUGUCAUCUUCUACCUUGAUCAAUUGGGUGGUGUCGGACACCACGGCACAGUGUUGGUUUACUUGACAGAGCUAUCAAGUCAGACUUGGGCUUUGGGGCAUAAGUGUUGGGAGCCGAGACAUAUGAUGUCGCCUAACAAACGAGAGUCGAAUUUGAUGCGAUUGGCAAGUGUUGCCUACCUUGUUCACUAUGAUGCUAGCGGUGAUGCCAAAACUCACUAGUAUCACAGGGAGCGUUGGAUCUCGUCCUGCUAUGCAACACCGGGGACGUUCGCAAAACAUAGCAGGAAUUCUUUUAUUAAAAGUGUUAAUAAAAGAAGUGCUAACCGUUGCGUAUCUUACUAUUGUAGAAAAUGCGAGUGCAUCAAACUUCAAUCUGCAAUCGAUCCUAGAUAAAGAAAAGCUCAACGGAACAAACUUUGUUGAUUGGAAUCGGAAUGUGAGAAUUGUUGUCAGACAAGAAAAAAAAGAGUACGUUCUCGAUACACCUUACCCAGAAGAGCCUCAGAAUGUCACGCACACCACUAGUGCAUAUCAUGCUUAUGUGAAGUAUACUGAUGAUCCGGUGGAUGUGCAGUGUCUGAUGCUUGCUUGCAUGAACUCUGAGCUGCAGAAGCAAUUUGAGAGCACUAACCCAUACGAUAUGAUCGUGGGGUUACGUUGCAUGUUCAAAAACUAGGUGAUGGUUGACAGGUUUAAUACCUCAAAGGCCCUGUUUGGUUGUAAGCUUGCUGAAGGUGCUCCAGUCAGUCCUCAUGUGAUUAAGAUGAUUGGGUACAUUGAGAGCUUGCAGAGACUGGGUUUUCCCCUCAAUGACGAUCUCGUCACCGAUGUGAUACUGCAGUCCCUGCCUGCUAGCUUUGAACCGUUCAUCUUGAACUAUCACAUGAAUGGUUUGAAGAAAUCACUGACUGAGUUGCAUGGGAUGCUAAAGGCGGCAGAGGCGAGUCUUAGGAAGACUCCUUGUCAUGUGAUGACAGUCCAGAUGGGUAAGAAGCGUAAGCGCCCAGCGAAGGCUAGAAGCCUGCCGAAAGUGGGACUUCCGGGCAGGCGUCCAAGGCCAAAGAAAAAGAAAAGAAAGCUGGUGUAUCUCCUAACGAUGCUUGCUUUCACUGUGGUGCAAAGGGGCAUUGGUCGAGGAAUUGCAAGAAGUACUUGGAAGAUAAAAGGAAGAAAGGAGGUGCGACCUCCGCUCAAGGUAUUAAUGUUAUUGAAAUUAAUCUUGCUACGCGUUCUAAUAAUGCAUGGGAAUUAUUCUAGUGCAAUGAUUCACACUUACAAAUCGUUGCAGGGGCUGAAAAUAAUUAAACGCUUUGUGAGAGACGAAGUGGAUUUGCACGUCGGGAAUGGAGCAAAGGUUGCUGCGUUGGCCGUCGGCAUUUAUCCAUUGUCGUUGCCUUCUGGAUUAGUGUUGGAACUCAAUAAUUGUUAUUUUGUUCCUGCAUUGAAUAAGAACAUUAUUGCCGAGUGAAUGUUUAUUCCAUUAUUAUAGAAAUAAAAGAGAUGGAUGGACCUCACAACAGAUACCCUACUCUUUACUGUACUUCGAGUGUGAUGUUUCAAUAAUAAAUGCUCACAUGAAGAUUCAGCCCAACAUGAGCAUGCAACAGAUUAGCCGACAUGUGCGUUAUACAAUUUGUCCGAUAUCUAUCAAUAAUCAUAACAAACCAACAAACUGUCCUAUGCAUCCAUAGUAGAGGUUUAAUAUAAGAGAUACUUUCUCCAUCACAGAUAUACAUUUUGGUUUUAUUCUAAGUUAAAUCUGAUGAGGACAUCACCUGCUCGGAUACAACCACCGAUAAGAACUCAACCCCAAAACGUGUUGGAUUGGAUCUCUUUCUUUCCUUGGGCCAAAAGUGACGUGGUGGCCUGGUGGAGGACGUUGGCAAUACUUGGACUUGGCCCCCAAUCUACUUCUUUGGUCAUCCAUACCUUCCAUGUGUGUUUAACACUAUUUUUUGAUCCAUGUAUGUAUUUCUGAAAUUGACAACGAACAUACAUCAUGGUGCAACAUCAAUUCAUCAAAUGUAUCAAAUACAAUUAUGGUAAAGAAUUGUUUCAUAUGUGAAUUAAAAGUUACUAACGUGGUUGUAUCCGAGCAGGUGAUGUUCAUCAGUGGUUGUAUCCGAGCAGGUGAUGUCCUCAUCAAAAUCUCUCAUCAAUCGAUUUCCAUUAAGUCCACAAUGGAAUAUGUGUAAUUAGUGCAUUCUUUUUGGUAUUGUAGAUGUUAAUAUAUUUUUCUAUAAAUUUAGUUAAAGUUGAAUAAGUUUGGUUAGCACACGAAAAAUAGGAUGCAUGAAGUACUAAUUAAUUUUUUUGCCAUCUGACCACAUCAUUUGACUGUUUUUUAUAAAAAACAAAUACCCAUGUAGACAUGUAUUUUGAUAUAUUUGGGGUUAAUAUUCCAUUCCGAGAAGCUGCUAUUCACUUUUGGAUAUUAUCCCUCCUCUAUAACACCAGCAGAGGGCGGGAGCUAGCAUUGUCAACGCUGCUGGCCGCCGGCGGAGGGAUUGGGCAAUGAUGGGAUGAAAACUUGAAGCUAAGUAUUUUAGUGGUACAUAAUAUAAGGAAUAUAUGUGAGAUUUUUAAUAGCAUGUAGGGAAUUGUCCUAGUAACUAUCCACGAGAUCAACUGAAUUUGACAUCAAGCAAGCAUCUUACCGACAAACCUGACCAUGACACUACUACUUAUUACUGGAUAUUCAGCCAAGAUGGUACAAUAAUUGCUCUGUCAUGUAUUUAUCCAUGAGCAUAACCGCUCUGUUCGCUUCAGCUUAUUCAGCCGGCUUAUCAGCCACCAAACAGUAUUUUCCUCUCACAACAAAUCAGCCGUUUCAGCUUUUCAGCCGGCUUAUAAGCUGAAGCGAACAGGCCCAACAAUUCAACAAACUUUAUCUUAAUUGCUCAAGGAUAGUGAAGGAUAUACAUAUGAGAUACUCAUUUUUCUAAUAUAUCAUCUACCAUAUUUGCUGAAAUACGUGUGAUCCCUUGACACGUGCUGAAACAAUCGCUGCAAGGUAGGAUUUGAGUUCAAAGUAUAUAACAAUUGGGGAAAGCUAAAGAAAAUCUCAAGAGUGGUUCUUCUUCUUCAUAGCAAGGUAGUAUAUUCCAGUGCAUGUUUUUUUGUGCCCAUGCUUCAUAGCAAGAUUUGCGUUCAGAUGAUGGUCCUUAUAACUAAGAAAAUUUCAAACCUUUUAAGAUUAUCGAACACCAGAAUUUUUGUAGAUACACUAGUUAUUAUGCUUUAUAUAUACUAGCGUUACAAAUAUGUACAAGAACUACUCCGCCGGCGGCAACAACAACAAUCAAGCUGAUUUGAUUGUUGUUGUGAGCUAGACAAACACUACACAUUGGACUAAUUUAGUUAUUUAAUAUGCAUUUUUGGGGGAAAAACAUGAGCGUGAAAUAUUUUUUAAAAAAAAAUAAAAUUCCGCCCUUCAAAUUCACUCCCAUGAUUGCUGGGUCCCCCGCAUCAUUGUCUUCACCAGGAGACCAGGAUGCAGUACGCUGGAUGAGAGGUUCAGAGAUCAUUUGUCGAUCUGCACUCUCAUGAAUUGAUUUUGCCGAGUUGGCAUAUAUCAAGAGAUAGAUGGAUCAUGGAUGGACCUCACUGUUGAUAAUAACAUGAUCAAAUAUUCUGCACAAUCAAUCAGAGAUGGACGCAUGACUACUCCUAACUGUACUCCCAGUCUAGCGCGUAUCAUUAAUUAAUGGUUACUUACAUGUGCUUACAAUAAUUAUCUGAUGCAUGUCUAUCGAGAAUCAUAACAAACCAACCAACUUUGUCUUACUCAUUCAUGGCUAUGCCUAUAGUAGAGGUUGUUUCAUAUAAUGGAAAAUGAAAAACUAACAAUUUUUCUCUCUACUAGGUUAUCACACACUAAGUUAUAUCUGGUAUGCGGAAAUUUGCUUCUUAAAAUUUGUUCCAAUAACAUCUAAAAAUUUCAAUUUCAUGACUCAUCUCUAUAACAUGCAGAUCUUACAAAUAAGGUAACUUUAUAGUCCGCAGUUGUAAUUUGGGCAUCUAAUAGAAAAAAUAAUUUUGAAGUUCAUGGAUGUAAUAUAAAAAAACUUUAGUGAAUUGAUGUAACUUGCGCAUCAAAUAACAAAUUAAUUUUAUAGUCUGUAUAUGUAACAUGCACGUAUAAAAAAUUUACUUUGUAGUCCAUCAAUUUAACUUGUGGAUAAUAGGAUGCCUGUAAGUACGGAUCAUAAUGGCAUGAGAAGAUGUAAUUUUGUAAUCCAUGGAUGUAAGUUGCUAUUUUUUAUAACUUGGAUGUAAGUUGUCGAUAUCAGGAUAUAUGUAAGAUGUGUCUGAUAGUAGCAUAGAAUUUUGUGAUUAAUGGGCGACCAGAGGAAGGUGAAUGGGAGCCAAUUCAAAAACUCUCCAAGAAACUCGAUCUAAGUCCCAAAGUAACCUUCAACCCUCUCUUCUAGCUACUAUCAAGAUCACGCAGUCAGACUACAACGGACUUAUUAACGUUAGCAACAAAGCUACGAAGGCUCAGAAGCAACAUGGAAGCAAACACAAAAGAUUUAUUCAAAAACAAGCUCAAAAACCUUCUAGGUAUCGAAACAUCUGACCUCUUAUCGGAACUUCCGAAGGUGGGAUCAGAACUGUCUUGAAAACUCCAACAAGAGGUCCUCAAUGGUUUCGUCGGAACUUCUAACCCUGUAUCGAAACUUUCGGCACCUAUCAGAUGUAUUGAGACACUGCCGACAAAGGGAACUCGGGUUUUCAAAAAUAAAUCAUCGGAACUUUCGGUUCUAUGUCGGAACUUCCUACACAGUGUCGGAACCACUACCGGAAAUAGUAGAUAUGCUGAGUAUUUUUUUUGUUUGCCGAGUGUAUUCCAUCGGGCACUCGGCAAAUAGUCGAUUUACCAAGUGCCCUUAGGAAGAUACUCGGCAAACAUAAUACACUCGGUAAAAAACCUAUUUGCCGAGUGUUCUAUAUCGGACACUCGGCAAACAACAAGAUGACAUUCGACAAUAAAUCGCCACUCGGCAAAAAGCUAUCACGUAAGCGGCACGUGCAAUGGCCGUCUGAGGGCGUGCCGACCGUUAGACCUUUGCCGAGUGUCUGUUAGUGACACUCGAUAAAUAGGGUUCUUUGCUGAGUGUUUCUCCACGGCACUCGGCAACAUUGUAAUUGUGGCGAGUGUUUUCUAUAGGCACUCAGCAAACUAAUAUUUUUUUCCUCCCCUGUCCUCCAAACUUUUUCUACUCUCCACAUACAACAUGUGGUACUACCUGUUAAAAUUUGGUAUAUUUCUCGGUCAGUUUGCUAUAUUUAAUUAAUUAAUUUUAUUUAGAGGAAUUUGUUAGUUUAAGUAAAAUUUGAACUGCAAGUGAUUCAAAUAAUGGAAUAAAUUCAGUGGGAAAAUCAUAUUCAUGUUACUGAGUCCAUUUUGGGGCCUUACCUGGGAAAUGAAAAGAAAUUUCAAACAUUUUGUUCAGGAAACACGACCAUGAACGUGUCACCGAAUGGUUUUUAAAUUCUAAAAAAAGCAGCGAAGUCUGGAAAUCACAAGAUUUGUCAAGAUCUCAUGAUAUCAUAUGUGGAGGGUGUGGUAAAAAAUUGAGAAGGUUUCGCACAAUUUGUCACGUACGAUGCUUACAAACCGAAGCAUCUCCGAAGAAAAAUCGUAGAUUUGAGAAGGAUCCGGUAAGAUUUGGAGUCAAAGUGAUAGUUGAAUUGGGGUUUGACUUCAAAACUUUUUGUAUAGGCAAUAGACAACAUAGAUUGAUUCAUGUGAAAUUUUGGGAAUUUUUUGAAUCCGUUUGAUAAUUUUUGUUUAUUAACUGCAAUUAUAGAAUUUUAAUUGAUAUAAAUUGAAUUUGAGUUAUAAUUGCAUGAAAUAAUGGAAUAAUAUUUGUAUAAAAAUCAAAUAUGCAUUUUUGAGUGAAUUUGAUAAGGUACUUUCAAAGUACGUCAUAAUGAAUUUAGUAAAACACAUUAUGGAAAGAGGAUGAGCAGCAUGAAUAUCAAUUUAUUUUGCCGAGUGUACAAACAAUAAAAUUGUCCAGUGUCCUAAAGGAGACACUCGGCAACUUCCUCCACCGGCUCCACUACGCACCGUCCACCCACCCACCAUCGUAAAGCUAGGUUAGCGCGCGGGAGGACCAUGGCGGCUCUACUGCCGCUUGCUGCGCUGGUCCUUGGCGUUGCAAGCGCCGAGGCCCCGCUGCUGGCGGUGGCCGUCAUGCUCGGCGGGGGCGCGGAGGCCGAUCGGCCUAGGGGUCCCAUGCCGGUGGCCGUCAGGCUCGGCGGGGGCGCCGAGGCCGAUCGGCCUAGGGGUCCCAUGCCGGUGGCCGUCACGCUCGGCAGGGGCGCCGAGGCCGAUCAACCUAGGGGUCCUAUGCCCCCUCCCCCCCACGCUCAUAAGAUGACUUAAGGAUUCAGUUUGUGAAGAUAUGACAUGGAUCACUUCAGGAUCAAUGAGGAAUCAAAGAAGAUCAAACGGAAAUUUAGAAAAAUCAUUGCCAGGGCUUGGCAUCUCAAUCGAUGGAUCGAUGGAGGCUGGCCGGCCGAAGAUGAAAUUAAGAUGAAUCGUCAUCAAUAUAAUCAUUCACACACGCCACUACACCUUUUUAUUUUGUUUUCGAUGUGGCAUGCAUGCUUUCUGCCUUGCAUCGAUCCCUGCUAGCUUGCCUCUCGAUCUACUUCCUCAGCUCUUUGCCUUGCUUGCUUUUUAUCCGUCUCGUCCCGUCCCGUCCAGCCUGUACAUGCAUUGCAUUGCAGUCAUAUAUUUACAUGCCUACCCGGCCCGGCCCACUAGGUUAGAUUGUUGCUAUCUAUCUGUAGCUAGCUUCCCGAUGUAUCGACGAUAUGAUAGAUGCAUGAUCCACAUUCCCAUCUCCCAUCCAGAGAUUGCCUUUGCCUGCAAACUAGCUCUCACAUAGUUGAAUUAAGCAACAGAGGUACUAGCUAGCUUCAUUUUUGAAAGGUAGAGUAGGCGAAUUAAUAUAAUGUAAUCGUUGCUGGUUUCCUACCGUUGCAUGGCAACUUAGGAAAAGUAAUUUUCUAGUCCAUCAAUAUUAUGAAAUUUAAAGUAACUUUUUACUUCGUGAAGGUAACUAGCUAGCUUAUAGAUAGAAGGAAAAAAGGGGGAGGGGUAAAAGUAAUAUUUUAGUUUCUAAGCAUAAAUUUUCCAUUUAAAAUAGUUGUCAAUUUGGUAUAGUAUGAGGUAACAUUAUAUAUAUUCAUCGUGUGAAGAAAGUACAGUCUAAUUUUCUGUUUUUAUAAAAGUAACUUCACCAUCUAUCAUUAAAAUAUGUAUACUUGAUUGAGAUCUUGUUUUGAAGUUAUAAUUAAAAUGAAUGGAAUGAUGCAAUAAUUAUAUUUUCUUCUUUUAUUCCAGAUGUUCAGUUGUGAAUUUGCUUGCAUGUGAUGACGUACAGUAUUUUAUUAAUUUCUUGCCCCUUUCUUUUUCUCCUCUCAAAUGAUCUCUGGAAGGCGUAUGGUGGCUUCCUAUAGCUAUUCUUGUGAUCCAUGCAUGGAGGGGAUAGAUGAAAGAUGAAUCAUAAGCUGCAUGCGGAGCGCCGGACCGGAGGGGCUCGGGGUAGGUUUGGCUCGGUGAAGUUUAUUCCGUACCAGAGUAUCAUAUAGUAUUACUAUAUAUAUAUAUAUAUAUAUAUAUAUAUAUAUAUAUAUAUGAUAUAUACAGGGGCGGAUCAGGGGGGCUGUGCCCCCCCCCUCCCCCCGAGAGCCUAAUUUUACCAGUAAAAUACUAUAGAUAAAGCCUCAAAUCACCGUUAAUCUCUAGCUCUAGUCCAAUCUCUAUUAUUUAGCCCCCAGGUGUUCAUCCUGGUGCUGUGCAUAACCUAAAGCAGCAGCAGCUACCUAGCCUUGCUUAUUAUAGGUCUGGUCCGGAUGGUCCGAUGGAUCGAUGCGGCAGUCAGUCAGUCAUGUAGCUCGCUGCCAUGGAUGGAUGGAUGGUAUGAUGAUGAUGCACAUUCCCAUCACCGGCCUCACCUCCACACACUACGUACAGUCAGUGUCAUGCAUGUAUAUCUAGCUAGUACAGACUGCAAUCAUCGUUCGAUCACAUGCAUUAUUGCAUCGUUCACAUUUGCAUCACUACCGAAAACAGUAGAUAUGCUGAGUAUUUUUUUCGUUUACCGAGUGUAUUCCAUCGGGCACUCGGCAAACAGGCGAUUUACCGAGUGCCCUUAGGACACUCGGCAAACAGGCCUAUUUCUAUUAUUCUGGGAACCUUUUUUCGCGAAGUGUUAGGGUCAAAACACUCGGCGAAGUGGACAUAAAAAUCUGGCCAUUGUGCGUUUGUUUGCCGAGUGUAUUGGGUAUGACACUCGGCAAACUUUGCCGAGUGUUUUGGGUCUUGGCACUCGGCGAAGUUUAGAAACUUUGUUUGGAAAGUAUGCCGAGUGUUUUUCAGUCAUGCACUUGGCAAAAUUGUCAUCACCGUGCCAUCCCAUUAACUCUCUUUUGCUAAGCGUUUAUUUUUACUGAGUGUUUAUUGACACUCGGCAAUAUACUUUGCUGAGUGCCCGAUGAUUGCCACUCGACAAAGAGCUCUUUGCCGCUAAAAUCUAUGCCAACACUCGGCAAAGCGUUUGCCGAGUGUUUUUGGGGUUUUGCCGAGUGCCCUUGGCACUCUGCAAAUCUACUGUAUCCCGUAGUGAACUUCCUACAGCUCAGAAAAAUAGCUCGAAUAGUUUAGGUCAAAACUUCAAAAUUAAAUCGAAUGACUUCCAAAAUUCAUGAAAUUUUAACCAUAGCUCCGCAAUAGCUACUGAGUCUUUUCCCAAAUGAUCUCCUCAAAAAGAUCAAGACUUCACUAUGGAUUCUGUGGAAUACGGUCAAGAACACAAAAGAGGGAGAGUUUUGGGAAAACUUCGAAUUCAAGCUGAAUCCAUGUGGGGGGGGGGGGGGGUUGAGGGGGAAUUCAAACGUGAAGAAUGAAAAAUCUCCGAAAAUAGCUCCGAAAAUACCAAAAAAGAAAAAUGCUUAAGAUCAAAGAUUUAGCACGAAGUUAGGCAUCAAAACACAACUAAAUCACGAAGGCAUCAUCUUUACAAGAUGAGGACUAGCCUCCUCCCUUCAUCCACCCACUAAGAUGAAGAAAUCAGGAGAAAAGAGCAAUCACUCUCUCAUCUCCCUCUCUCCUCUUUCUCUAAGCACUUGGCUAGCCUCUAAGCAAAUGAAUUAGGGUUUUCUCAAGAGCUGCUGAACCAACCAGCCAUCCACCCAUAUAUAUAGUCCAUGGCAGAUGACGAAACUACCCCUACAGCUACAACUAAGAUAACUGCCCAUGCAGGGACAUUUUGGUCCAGGUUCUUCUUGGUGCAUCGGACGGACACGCCACCUUCACGACUUUACUUCGUCUCGACGCAAGCUUCGUGAUGAUUCCAUGUUCCCCCUUUCUUGAAGCUCCAGCCGCAUCGGGCUCAACCCCGAUUUUGAGGCCCAAACCGGGAAACCUGCCCGCGCGGUGGUUUUGAGGCCCAAACCACCCAAACCGUCCAUCUCCGCUUGGCCGCCACGUGACCUCCUUGAUGUUGACGUGUGUCUGGCCUCCGCCGAGCCUCCCGCUCGACUCGACCGACGCUAUCUCCAUCCCGUCAUGCUCUCUCGCCCUUCCGUGCACCAUGUAGAUCACCCAUGACUCCGCCCGGACUCAUCGGGUCAUCAGUCCAAGCCUACUCACGUUUGGUCCAUCAGCAUAAACCUUUCGCUUGACCUUCACCGCACGCUAUCGGCCGCCACACCGCAUCCUACACCUGCAUAUCACAAGCCAAUAACAAUAUCAAUCCAACACAACGUUGCCAAUCACUCAUCAUCCAAGGGUGACCACCAUUGGUCCUCAUAAUGUAACAUUUUCAUCUAAAAAAAUGCGGAUGUAACUUUUUUGAGCUACAAGUAAAUUUCUCGCUCCAAAAUAUCUAUUUUAGCAUAAAUGGAUUUUUUAUUUUUUAGAAAUGACGAGAAAAUAUUGUUCCUUAUCUUAAAAAAACUAGGUGUGUGCUCUACAUGUAGUCGCAUCGGUAUUAGAGGUAGUUACUAAUUUGUAUUACCAUCUGCCAUACUUGCUUAAAACACCACCUAUAGUCUUUGUUUCCUAUGGUCAAGUGGAAGAAAAUUCUGUGGAGAUCGGAUGCAAACCACGCUCCCUGCAUAUCCGACGCCGAUGUGCACCACGUGGGCGUCUGAGGGAUCCAAGGGACGGAGCUCCACGUCACGGAUCCACAGAAUUUUCUUCCGGUCAAGUGGUAGGAGGCAAAGAAAAACAGCAGACCGAGAGGACAUCAACAAGUGAGAUCUAUCGGCUAUAUAAAGGAACCAGGUUCUAGCCAAGCGUUCAUAUGGCUGCCAUGCACUACUCGUCCUCCUCCAUGUCUCUCGCUCUGCUGCCGCUACUGCUUGCAGCCGCACUGGCUCCCUCUCUGGCUUCAGCUUCACCUGCCCUCGACAAUGGCGAUGAGCUGCUGAUGCUCGGGAGGUUCCAUGGGUGGAUGGCGGCGCACGGCCGGUCCUACGCCACCGAGGAGGAGAAGCUGCUCCGGUUCGAGAUAUACCGGAGCAACAUGGAGUUCAUCGCCGCGGCGAAC
rnacentral:lncRNA from 1 species